UCUCUUUAGUUUAGCAGUUUUUUUAUUCGAAUUUUCUAAAAAUUCAAAGAAAUGCAGCUUUUAGGCGAUUGUUUAUGCGGAACGUAUCCCCGCUUAAAAAAGACCUGUCCAAGGAUCGAUCGUUCGACAGCAGAGCUUGACCAAAACAAGGCACAUUGACUUAUACUAUGUUCAUACUACGAGUUAAAACAUGUUAUAACUCCGAUUUCAAGUUUUAAGCGAAAUAACAUGUUUUACUUUUGCGUUAUUUCAUAUUCAUAAACGUCACAUUAAAAUAUGUUUUCCCGAAAUAACAUGAUAUCCCAGUGAAAUUUGUCGACCCGUAUAAGUCCGAUCAUCGGCCCGAUUAUCGGACCGAUAGAGCACGAUAUGAGGCCGAUCGUAGCGCUUCAAUCGGCCCGUUAUCGGACAAUUCUGCACCAUUUGCAUCAAUCGCGUCGACCUAAAAAAGCUUUAUUUUUACAUUAUGUAUCGCUAGCGAAACAGAGCGAAGGAAUAUCAAACAAGGCAUUUGCGAGCCGACGUCUCCCCGAUAGGAUGUGAAAGAGUGUUAAACCGACGACACGACCUGCCACUCGACUAUCAAAACUGUAUCGCAAAUUUAACUACCCCUCAGUAACUGGUAAUGUCAAAACGGAUUUGCUUGAAAAAAUGUUGGAACUGGCAACACAAGUUGGUAAGUUAUUGAUUUUGAAAAACAGUUACCAGUAGCCUUGGUAACUACAUAUGGAAUGUAAACAAAAACAAGAGAUUCUCACUUGAAACGAAACCACUGAGUGUAGUUGGCCGCUGGCAGCCAGUCAGAUACCUCUAGCUUCGGCUAUCAGCUCGAUGUUUCUUUCCAUAAUCUUCUCAAAGUUACGUGUGACAAUAUCAACAUCGUCAGCGAAGCCAAAGAGCUGUACGUACUUUCGGAAGAUCGUGUUGAUCCGCGCUCUUCGAAGCAAUAUUGAACAAGAGACAAAAGAAUCCAAAACCUUGCCGUAGCCCUCUCUGAGACUUGAAACGACUCGAGAGCGUCCCAGAUACUUGGACGUAUCACAUUACUCUAUUCAUCGUUGCUUCGACCAAUUACGUCAAAUUAUACGGAAAUCCGCAUUCGUGCAUAAUCUGCCAUAGCUGUGAUCUGCCAUAGCGAUUGUGUCGUAUGUCGCUUUGAAGUCAAUGGCGCGUUGUAUUCUCGACACUUCUGGAGUACUUGUCUCAUAACGAAUAUGUAAUUCGUAGUGGCGUACCGUACCGGCAACGAAUAUUAUUGACUAAAAAAAAUUUGAUUUCGGUUGUUUAAGGCAAUAAAAACUUCUCGUGUGUUAUCUUCAGAGGGAAUAUAUUCAUCUAACUAAGCAUUUAUCACUUUCAUAAUGUUCCCAGAAUUACAUUUCUCGUUUAAAGUUUUGCUCGAGCUUCCUGGUUUAAAACUAGUCCACCAAGCCGAUUGAAUGUAGACUUUUUGAUAACUCCAGGUGACCACAGCGUUUCUAUAAACUUGGUGGACAUAUCAGCAUUGUUUAAGGUUGUCAAAAAUUUUGAAUGUGCCUGUUCAACGUCACUAGUUUGUAAUUGCCCUUGUUGGACUGAACUUUGAAGUGCCGAUUGGGCUAGAUCUAUGUAACCGGUAACCAGAUUUCAGAGGUGAUUUCAAAGCAUAUAUGAAGUCUUGUACCAAGCAACUAGCAGCGUUAUUAACAAUAGCAUACACUCCGUCUAGUGAUUACGUUCCAUUCGAACGUCGAAUGCACUUCCGAAUAAUGAAAAAUACAAAUAAUGAAAAAUUGUAAAAUAUUCUUAAUAAUGAAAUGAGGAAUUAUUCCAUAACUAUUUCAAACUGUUUGUUUAUUUAUUCUGAUGCUCCUUGGUAACUAGUUCAUAGCAACUUAAACAGUGUUGCUCGAAUAGUUAGUUUUUGUCAUUUUCAAGGGGUCGCUAUAUUUAUGGUAACUGGUGGUAAAUCGCUCACGAACACUUUUUAUUCCGAUUUUUCUUCGGAGUGUCUGGUCGUGUCGUCGGUUAAACAUUCUUUUGCUUCGAUCAUAGAGGCUUUAACCUUAAGGUCAUUCGCCUCUUAGGGCCAGAAAAACUCUUGCCCUAUGUUCGGAGUUGGAAAUCCAAUUCCGAUAUAUCCCAUCCCCUGAGUAUCAGACAUCCGCUCUCUGCUUUGGUAUUUCUUCACUCUUUUGUUCUACCGAUACACUAUGUAAGCUCGAAACGCAAUCAAAAGCUUUCGUGCACGAUGCGUCCGAUGUUCGGAUUUACUGGGAUAAUUGUCAGUAAAGCACAACCCUGCUAGCAUUUUCCUUCACUUUUCGACUAUGUCAAUUGACAAGCUGUUCAACAACAGCAGUUUUCCAUCAAAGUAGCCAUGUAAUCAUAAUAAAACAAAACUGAAAACUGGUACCAACGUUGCCAGGUAUACAGAUUUCUCGGUAUUUAUACAGAUUUUUGACCACUAUACCACUAUACAGAUGUGUUCUCCCAAAAUACCGAUAAUUCACGGAUCGCACAGAUAAGUACCGAUUUUGGUUUUUAGCUUGAAUAGACAUGAGAAAAGGUUGUCUUUUUUUUCGCUCACCUUUUCUGCUACUUAGGUAGAAGAGAUGUUGAUACCGAUAUGAUACAGAUAGAUUUUUGCGCCGACUACAUAUUUUUGGAAAAAUGACCUGGCAACGCAGAUAGGUACAACCAUUUUUCUUAGUGUGAACAGUGCGGUCGACGACACGACCAGACACUCCGAAGCAAAAUUGGAAUAAAAAGUGUUCGUGAGCGAUUUACCGCCAGUUAUCGAAUAUUGAAAGACCCCUAGGUAAUAAUAAAAAUAUAUUUUACAAGCAUCACUGCUGUGGUUGCUACGAAAUAGUCGCCAUGCACGGCAUAAUAAACAAACAGGAAUGUACCAGUUAUUAUGGAGAUAACACUAUGAGGAUGUGAUGGUGAUCUAUCAAAAUGGAACAUAUCCGCCUAUAUUUACCACUGAAUUUUUCUGAAACAUUUUUUACGUAUCUUUCAACAAUAUUUGAAUGAUAGGAUAAUGUCCCUGUCAAGCCGCCCACUGACUGUCUCUGCUUCUACAGGCGUUUAAAAAGAGAUUCAUUAUAAGAAUCAAGCACCAUCUGCCUAAUGAUAAUCGGUAGCAAAACAAAUUUUCUCACGACCAACAAAGCACGCUCAAGAACUAUUUACUUACAACACGACUUGCUGUAAUACGAGCACAAUAAAUAUAGAUUUCAUCAUU